AAAAAAGGUAAGCUACUAAGAGCGAAUGGUGGAUGCCUUGACUGGUAAAGGCGAUGAAGGACGUACUAGACUGCGAUAAGCUACGGGGAGCUGUCAAGAAGCUUUGAUCCGUAGAUUUCCGAAUGGGGCAACCCAAUGUAUAGAGAUAUACAUUACCUAUAUAGGAGCGAACGAGGGGAAUUGAAACAUCUUAGUACCCUCAGGAAAAGAAAUCAAUAGAGAUUGCGUCAGUAGCGGCGAGCGAAAGCGCAAGAGGGCAAACCCAGUGCUUGCACUGGGGGUUGUAGGACUGCAAUGUGCAAGAGGUGAGUUUAGCAGAACAUUCUGGAAAGUAUAGCCAUAGAGGGUGAUAGUCCCGUAUGCGAAAAACAAACCUUAGCUAGCAGUAUCCUGAGUAGGGCGGGACACGAGAAAUCCUGUCUGAAGCUGGGUCGACCACGAUCCAACCCUAAAUACUAAUACCAGAUCGAUAGUGCACAAGUACCGUGAGGGAAAGGUGAAAAGAACUGAGGUGAUCAGAGUGAAAUAGAACCUGAAACCAUUUGCUUACAAUCAUUCAGAGCCCUAUGUAGCAAUACAGGGUGAUGGACUGCCUUUUGCAUAAUGAGCCUGCGAGUUGUGGUGUCUGGCAAGGUUAAGCAAACGCGAAGCCGUAGCGAAAGCGAGUCUGAAUAGGGCGCUUAGUCAGAUGCUGCAGACCCGAAACGAAGUGAUCUAUCCAUGAGCAAGUUGAAGCUAGUGUAAGAACUAGUGGAGGACUGAACCCAUAGGCGUUGAAAAGCCCCGGGAUGACUUGUGGAUAGGGGUGAAAGGCCAAUCAAACUUCGUGAUAGCUGGUUCUCUCCGAAAUAUAUUUAGGUAUAGCGUUGUGUCGUAAUAUAAGGGGGUAGAGCACUGAAUGGGCUAGGGCAUACACCAAUGUACCAAACCCUAUCAAACUCCGAAUACCUUAUAUGUAAUCACAGCAGUCAGGCGGCGAGUGAUAAAAUCCGUCGUCAAGAGGGAAACAACCCAGACUACCAGCUAAGGUCCCUAAAUCUUACUUAAGUGGAAAACGAUGUGAAGUUACUUAAACAACCAGGAGGUUGGCUUAGAAGCAGCCAUCCUUUAAAGAAAGCGUAAUAGCUCACUGGUCUAGUGAUUUUGCGCGGAAAAUAUAACGGGGCUAAAGUAAGUACCGAAGCUGUAGACUUGCACACAACUUAGAUUAUUUAAGUUUAGAAUAUGAGAAACUAAGUUAUAUGUUUAGUUAUAUUUUUACUGAUUUUUAUAGAGUAAAGAUAGAAAUAAAACUUAGUAAAAUCAGUAAAAAUAUUCUUAGACUAAAGUUAAGUAGUUUAAGUUGUGUGCAAGUGGUAGGAGAGCGUUCUAUUUGCGUCGAAGGUAUACCGGUAAGGAGUGCUGGAGCGAAUAGAAGUGAGCAUGCAGGCAUGAGUAGCGAUAAUUAAUGUGAGAAUCAUUAACGCCGUAAACCCAAGGUUUCCUACGCGAUGCUCGUCAUCGUAGGGUUAGUCGGGUCCUAAGUCGAGUCCGAAAGGGGUAGACGAUGGCAAAUUGGUUAAUAUUCCAAUACCAACAUUAGUGUGCGAUGGAAGGACGCUUAGGGCUAAGGGGGCUAGCGGAUGGAAGUGCUAGUCUAAGGUCGUAGGAGGUUAUACAGGCAAAUCCGUAUAACAAUACUCCGAGAACUGAAAGGCUUUUUGAAGUCUUCGGAUGGAUAGAAGAACCCCUGAUGCCGUCGAGCCAAGAAAAGUUUCUAAGUUUAGCUAAUGUUGCCCGUACCGUAAACCGACACAGGUGGGUGGGAUGAGUAUUCUAAGGCGCGUGGAAGAACUCUCUUUAAGGAACUCUGCAAAAUAGCACCGUAUCUUCGGUAUAAGGUGUGGUUAGCUUUGUAUUAGGAUUUACUCCGAAAGCAAGGAAACUUACAACAAAGAGUCCCUCCCGACUGUUUACCAAAAACACAGCACUCUGCUAACUCGUAAGAGGAUGUAUAGGGUGUGACGCCUGCCCGGUGCUCGAAGGUUAAUUGAUGGGGUUAGCAUUAGCGAAGCUCUUGAUCGAAGCCCGAGUAAACGGCGGCCGUAACUAUAACGGUCCUAAGGUAGCGAAAUUCCUUGUCGGUUAAAUACCGACCUGCAUGAAUGGCGUAACGAGAUGGGAGCUGUCUCAAAGAGGGAUCCAGUGAAAUUGUAGUGGAGGUGAAAAUUCCUCCUACCCGCGGCAAGACGGAAAGACCCCGUGGACCUUUACUACAGCUUGACACUGCUACUUGGAUAAGAAUGUGCAGGAUAGGUGGGAGGCUUUGAGUAUAUGACGCCAGUUGUAUAUGAGCCAUUGUUGAGAUACCACUCUUUCUUAUUUGGGUAGCUAACCAGCUUGAGUUAUCCUCAAGUGGGACAAUGUCUGGUGGGUAGUUUGACUGGGGCGGUCGCCUCCCAAAUAAUAACGGAGGCUUACAAAGGUUGGCUCAGAACGGUUGGAAAUCGUUCGUAGAGUAUAAAGGUAUAAGCCAGCUUAACUGCAAGACAUACAAGUCAAGCAGAGACGAAAGUCGGUCUUAGUGAUCCGGUGGUUCUGUGUGGAAGGGCCAUCGCUCAAAGGAUAAAAGGUACCCCGGGGAUAACAGGCUGAUCUCCCCCAAGAGCUCACAUCGACGGGGAGGUUUGGCACCUCGAUGUCGGCUCAUCGCAUCCUGGGGCUGGAGCAGGUCCCAAGGGUAUGGCUGUUCGCCAUUUAAAGCGGUACGCGAGCUGGGUUCAGAACGUCGUGAGACAGUUCGGUCCCUAUCUGCCGUGGGCGUAAGAAGAUUGAAGAGAUUUGACCCUAGUACGAGAGGACCGGGUUGAACAAACCACUGGUGUAGCUGUUGUUCUGCCAAGAGCAUCGCAGCGUAGCUAAGUUUGGAAAGGAUAAACGCUGAAAGCAUCUAAGCGUGAAGCCAACUCUAAGAUGAAUCUUCUCUAAGCUCUCUAGAAGACUACUAGUUUGAUAGGCUGGGUGUGUAAUGGAUGAAAGUCCUUUAGCUGACCAGUACUAAUAGAGCGUUUGGCUUAUCUUUAAUAAAGCAU
rnacentral:rRNA from 1 species